AACUGUGCAACCGAAAGUGACACCUCUGAUAGAAUAAUAUAGCAGGAGCAUUGCUGGAGAGCACGUGUAGGAAGACUGCCUUUACGGAGGAACGUUCAGGUGCGGUGACGUGGGCGAGUAGCUGUUCCAAUAGCAGCUGGAGCACAAGAUGCCACGAUCCUCCUUGUUCAACCUGGCGUAAGGCUUUAUCUCCGCGACGAUCAGUCCUAUUAUCACACCUCCAUACACCGCCGCGAGUGCGUAAAACCUCGACGAGCUCGUGAUGUCUUCAUACCAUGAAUAAGGAUAAUCUUGGCAGAUAGAAAUUAACCAUAUAUUUAUUUAAUAAUUAGUAUAUUAACUAAAAAUUAAAGAUUGGUAAUUUAUUAACAAUUUUUGAACGUAACAUUUAUAUAAUAUUAUUAACAAUUUUUUUGAAAAUAAUGUAAACAGAAAAGAUGUCAUUUCUAAGAUACAUUUCUAAUAAUUAUAUUUUAAAUAUAUUUCUAUUAGAUACAGAGUUGUAUGUUUAUAUGUAAAAUAUAAUCUACAUUACAUGUGUACAAUAUAAACCAUGUUUUACAUGUCAUCUAUAUAAACAAUAAACUGUAGAUCAUAGAAGAUUAAAAAAUAGUAAAAAUAUUUUGUUUUUAAUAUUUUAAAUACUAUAAUUUUUUUAUUUUAUCAAUAUUAAAGUUAGAUGUAUUAAUAAUCUUGAUAAUCUUAUGUUAUAACUUAUUCUUUUAUGUUAUCCAAUUUAUAAUAUUACUUAUAAACUUGUAUUGUCUCUAUGAAAAAGAAUUGUAUAAACCUAAAGUAAACAAUCAUAAUUUUGAUAUUUAUGCCACAAUUCUGAUCAAGAUAUAAGUACAUAAAUCUAAAUUCUGAAAUUCUAAAAUUUAAUGAAACAGUACAUCUGUUAUUAAUGAUAUGUAUCAUCUUUAUUGUCUGAAGAUUUGCUCCAUAAAUGUUUGUUUUGAAACUCAAGAUAUAUAAUAUAGAUAAUAGCGUUUGUAUUGUUACAUCGCAGCUCUUUCUCUUCAGGUGCAAAGCAUUACAUUUAGAUACAUUUCCGUCCUCUCAUCUUCCCUAAAUUAUUUACAUUUUCUUUAUUGUUGGAGUCCCAA